UCUUAUGUGGCCGCCUGGCAGUGUAGCUAGCUGGUUGUGGGCUAUAUUAUUACAGCCACUAACUACGGCUGCCUUGCGGCUGUCGGUCAA
rnacentral:pre_miRNA from 1 species